AAUGAGGGAAGGAAACCGCCCCUUUCUCUGGGUCCAGGCCCACACGGCCCAACUACUUAUCCCCGUCGUCGUCCUCUAUUGUACCCGAGCUGCUCCCCUCUCCGCCCGCCCGCCGCCCACUGCCGCCUCGCUCGCCUAGGGAGACAACUUCUACUAGCUUCCUCCCCUACCGCCUGCCGCCCAAUCAGCCAUGGCGGAUCCCACUGAGAGGGACCAGUUCACGGACGACGAGGAGGAAGAAGACUACCUGGAGGACGGCGAGCAAGGCCUUGGAAGCGAGGACGAGGAAGGAGGAGGAGCGGGGGGCAAGAGGAAGCGGCUGGGAAAUACCCUGGGUGGGAUCGGCAAGCGUGGGGUGUGCUACCUCAGCCGCGUCCCGCCGCACAUGAACCCGUCGCACAUCCGCCAGAUGCUUUCCAAGUACGGCGAGGUGCUCAGGAUUUACCUCGUGCCCGAAGGUCAAGGUCAUCACAAGCAUACUAGUGUUAAAGCGAAGGCUUACUCGGAAGGGUGGAUUGAAUUUGCAAAGAAGAGUGUUGCCAAGAGAGUGGCUAAUCUGCUUAAUGGUGAACAAAUAGGCGGUAAGAAGAGAUCUCCAUUUUAUUAUGACAUUUGGAACAUUAAAUACCUCAGGAAGUUUAAAUGGGAUGAUCUGGUUGGUGAAAUGGCUGAGAAAACUCAUAUCAGAGAGCAGAAAUUAACCUUGGAGAUAGCAGCAGCAAAGAAACAACGCGAUCACUACCUGUCCAACAUUGAAAAAUCUCGCGCGUUGAAACACAUUCAAGAGCGCAGGAAAAAGAGGCAGAAGACAGAAGGAGCAGAAGCCAGUAAUGUCCCAGAAACAAAAACUGCCCGUUCAAUUCCUCAAAAGAAACCAGUUGUGGAGACAGAUGCCAAAACUAAAUCCACGCUUUCAAAAGACAUUUUGGCUGGCGUUUUCGGGGGUUCAUCAUGACCACCUCCUAUCUUUCGGCAUGGAUUGGUGCAUGCCAAACUGAAUGGAGUGCUGCAAGAUCAUCGAGUUCAUAUUCUACUUCGAAUUUUUGUAGAUGAAGUCAGUUUUUUUUUCUUGGGGGAAUCUUUGUAAAACUGAAACACAUGUUCUCUUCUAGUUGAACAAAUAUCACGAGGAACUGCCAUUGGCGUUAUCUCUUCCUUGGCUGGGAUUUUCAGUGCUUCAGCUUGCAGCUAUGCUGUGGCCUGUGGGUGCUGGAUGAUGGUAGGAAGACACAAGGGAACACGAGCGAUUGGGAUGGAUAUGCAGCCAUGCAGUGUGGGGUGAUCUGUUCUUGCCCGAGGAAUGGAACAUGAUGCUGUGAUCAUGACAUCGAGAUUGGUGAGAGAUAAGGUUGUGCAAGCUGACCACCAUGACCACCGUUUCAGAACUUGUUUCGAUAACGAGUAUUAUUAUACUUGUGUUGUAGUGGAAUUUAAACUAAUUUUGAUCCUAACCCUCUUCAACCCAUAUGUAUUAAGGAUAAUA